ACGGCUGUAGCCCAUCCCAAGUGAGUCUCCAUUCUCCACGCGGUGUUGUCGUAAACCUAUCUUCUUCAUCGCUUACCUUUCAACUCCCACCCCUUCCAUUUCUCAUCUCUCCCAAUCCGUUUCAAGGAUUAACUUCACCGUAAUUUCUCAACUUCAUCUCUCUCAGAGCCGAUGAACCCUAUUUUUUCUGUAUCGAAGAAACGAGCUCUCUCUCUCUUUCGUACGGUAUUAAAAAUAAUAUUCAUUUCCAAAUCCUCUCAGACUUCAUCGUCUUCCUCACGAGAGCUUCAUUUCUGUUCAAUCUCAAGUUUACUGAAAUACGGCAAUGAAUCUUUGACGUCUUAUCUCCCUCUCACCAUCUGAAACGGUCCGAGUAAUGGCGUCGUGUUUACUCCAUUGAUUCACUCCCCCCACGAUGUCUUCUUCAAUGAUUUGUUUCGAUCUACAAGCCGUUGUUUUUCUGUAUAAAUAUAUAGAGUAUGUGAGAGCAAUAGAUAGUGAGAGAGGAGAGAAUGAAUGGUGGUGAUGAGAUCAGAGCUUCGUCGUUUUAGAUCGGAGAUUCUCUCAGGUUUGAAGGCAGUUCAGGCGAAGAAGUUCAAGAAGGCUGUGUACUGCUUACAAUCAAGGGACUGGACGAGGAACGUCUGUGUUAGAAAUGAUUGCUGCUUUUAAAAAAGCUUCUGGCAAGAAAAUACCUAUCAAGCUUUGUAUGAGAAGGCCAGGAGAUGCAACUGCAGUUUAUGCUUCAACAGAGAGAACUGAGAAAGAACUUGGCUGGAAGUAGAUUGUCUUUUAUUCAACUGAGACAUGUGUUUCACGAAAAUCAAAGGUGGCUUGGGGUACUUCAGUUCUUUCAGUGAGUGUCAACCUCCACAUGAGAAACAUAGGAUGCAACUUAAUAGAGAUUUGGGUUUAGGUAAGACGGAUCAAGUUUUGGUUUCAGAACUGAAGAAUACAGAAUAAGGCACAACAAGAAAGAGUUGAUAGUUGUGCACCCAAGGAAGAGAAUAUUUGGAUUCAUUGCGAAAACAUUGCCAUUCGAGAAGCUCACAAACACACCAUUUGCCACAACUGUGGUGAUGCUCCUGUUCAUGACGACUCUUUGAUGAACAGAAGCUUUGAAUCUAAAAUGCUUAGAGAAGAGAUUCUAGCUUUUUUUUACCAUCUCAUGAUCAAAACAAGGAUACUUUGUUCAUUGAGAAGCUCCUCUCAGGCUGUCCUGUUCUUGAAGAUUUCACCGUGUAUAGGGUUUUUGAUGACAAUAUACCUGUUCUGCGUAUGAGAUCUCAGUGUCUUAAGAGGUUUUGUGUAAAGUUUGGCCGCCAGAGAAGAAUUUUUGGUAAAGAGUAUGCGGUUUGGUGUCAGUCUAAUGAGAACUGUUGGUAUCAAAUCUUUUUUACUAUU